UGCUUAAGCUGCCGGCUUCCUGCUCUCCCCCCUGUCCCUUCAGAGUGAUUUCUCUGGAUGCCCGAGGACCUCAAAGCUGUCAGCACUCACUUGGUGGUUCCUAAGCCAGAGAUGACACACUCCUGGAGCAGAACCCUGAAUUCACUGACGUGGCCGCUUGCCCAGCUGAAGAGCUACAUUUCCCAGCACUGGCAGCUGGUCCUGGCCAAUGAGCUGUGAGCCAAAACGCUGGGUGGCUGUAUUAGCCUGGAUUCAUACAGGAGAGAAAAACCACAUGGGCUGAGAUUCAGAUUUUGUUGGAGGCUUUGGCUGUAGCCGAGAAGUCACUGUGCUCUGUGCUGCUGGAACUUGCUGGAAAUCUGUCCUCUGGAACUUCUCAGA